CAGAGAGAGAGUGUGUGAGUGUGGCUCUCAAAGCUGUUCCUGUUAGAAAACUGAACCCCUGGAAAGUGCAAGUACAGUCAUGUUGCGAGAUUGUUGUAAGCAGAAAGUCUGGGAAGAGAAUAUCCAUCAUUUCCAGAUGUGGACAUAUGAUCCAGGAGGCAAUUGAAGCUGAAGACUGAAAAACUUUGCUUGAGAUGUUCAGGAUGCCAGUCCAGAUGAAGUUUUAAACGCUGGGUUGUGCACCAAGCUUGCAUUCGAACAGCGGAUUUGCACUGCCAUCCAAGUGGGCUGAAAGGCGUUUGCCACAAGUGUCUUCAAACAUGGAUCAGAAACAGAUUUCACUGUUGCUGCAUUUUGAUUUAUCAUUUUGUUUUCUUUUUUUCCUAGCAACUCCAAAAUACGACAAGAGCAGCUAAAAAGUCAGUAUUUUCUUCUAGCUGCUGAUAAAUACUUAUCAAAUCUUUCUUUGGGGUCAGUGAUUUUUCAUAUGUCUUAGUACACAAUGGAAUUAUUUAAUUACUUUUGCUAGCAAGUUUACAGACAAGUAUAUCCCUAUCAUACUGCAUAUCCUCAAAUAAGAUUAUUUACAAUCCAAUCUAAGGAGUGCUGACUGGUGUCAUUGGAAGCUAAAGCUGCAUCAGCAUUUAAAUUUCUACUUUUCCGGGCAAAAACCCAACUGGCUGAUUCAAUUAAACUCUUUAUGUUAUAUAUUAUCCAGAAGUUCACAAUCUGAAGCGAUUCUCAGAGUCUGAAGCCAUGCCUUUAUGAUUGCAAUUUGGUAGCAAGACAAUUUCCAAGGACUAUUUUACUUGAACUGCAAUGAAAAUGUCAGGACAUAACACACUUUCUGAUGUGGGUUUUAUGAAAGGCACUCCAAAAUCAACCAUUAUUUCAAGCACAAGCAAUAAAUAACCUUCAUUAUUCAUUAAAGUGUAUAUAUGCAUCUGUGUUUGCAAAUAUGGUGGCUUCCUGAGCAAAGAACCCUGUAAUCAAAAGACCCUUCACUCAUUUAAGGAGGUAACAAAUGGGCAGGCAGAAGGCACAGAAAGAGCAUCUAUUUAAUCGGUAAUGGAGAUAAUCUAUAGAGUACCUGUAAUACAAGUAGUCCAUCUUCCAAGCAUAACUUUAGAUAACAUAUAGGAUGCGGAAAGAUUCAUGCAAUAUUGUGAAGCUACUUUUCAUAAUAGUCAUUUGGACAAAUUUUGUUUAUGGUUUAUAUCGAACAAAGAGAAUAGACCUUUCCCAUACCAUGUAAAUCACAGCCCUCCUGAAGGAUGUCUGGAGUAGUGCUCUGCUAUUACUAUUCACAAGAACAUUAACACCGAUGAAAUAGGCUCUGUGAAUUUACUGCUAUUUACCUGUUCAGAUUAGGAGCUAACGCACCUCCGCAAACAGCUGGCAUGAUAUGCAGACCUGCAGCAGCCCCUUGCAUCCUCAAGCACUGUGUGAGAGUGCUAGAAAGCAGUCUUUAUACACUGAUGUAAUUUGUGUGAGGUGUGUGUUGUUUUUUUUUUAAUGAGACUUUGAAGAAAGAUCAUAUUUCUGCUCAGUUACUCCUGUUGAUGAGUUUCAGAUGGGUCAGUCAGAAUUUUAGAGUCAAAAGCAGAGCUUGGACAAAAUACACUGACUUAUUUGAGCUGUUUUCCUUCAGAAACUGAAAAAUUAGUUUAGAAAGAAAAUGAAAAAAUUGAAUAUUUUUCUAGCAAUUCAAAAGCAUAAAUUACGGUUUCUAGAGCUGCUUUGUUUUGACAAAUUCAAAGUAAUUUUCUACUUCAAAUUUUUUUAUUUUUGGGAGAUUAAAAAUCAAAUUGGAGGAGAAAUUUAGAAAGAAAACAAGCUGAGUAUUCACUGUAAAAAGACACCAAGAUGCUGUUUCUUGUUAUUUCUUGUGUUUUUACACAAAAGGCCAUUUGUAUAGUGAAAUCCGUGGUUUGGUGAAAGAGGUGAUAUCAGGAGAAAAACUGUGCCUUGUAGCCUUUAUAUAGUUAUUUAAGAAAAUGGAAAUAAGAGGCACCAAACCAUAAUGACUAACAAUUUCAAAUGAAGGCUUUGGAACGAUGCUGGAAGAUCAGAUCAAACCAAUUAAAACACUGAGGAAGGACUCUAUCUCCCCAGCCCUUAGAUAACAGCUCAAAAAGGAGGGGAGGAGGAGUAGUGCUCUCUCUUUCUUUAUCCUGCCUUUCUUUUUCCCCCGCUCCUGGUUUUCAUGGUGGGGGCACUAAUGAACUUUUCAAGUCCCAUGAAGACAACCCUCGUGUUCUGAUUAGUUGCCUUACUUUUAAUGAAUUGUUUUAAUCAAGUUUCAAAGCAGGGACUCUAUGCUUCAUUGCAGCAGCCCAAUGACAAUGAGCUGAAUGUUACCAAGACAGUGCAUCUGAUGGACUUUAAUGGAUUUUAUGUGACAGUGUCUAGUGGCCUCAUAUUAGACAUAGCUUUACAGCAGAGAACCCAUGGGGUUGCACUAUGCAUUUAAUCUAUACAUACUAUAAGGAUAAGGGAGAGAGAAGCAGGGGAGAGGGAGAGAUUGUGAACCCUGAAGACCUUCAAAGGACAUGCAUUUCAUACUAAUAAGAAACAGUCUUUGGUCAUUUUAUUUUUUUGCAAUAGCAAAGUCCCAUUGUGUUUUCUUAGGGAAUGUCAGGAGUAUAAUAUCUUCAGGGCUUUUUGCAGUAACAUUCACGAAACACAAAGUUAUCUGGAAAAAUUAAGCUCUCAAGGAAAUCUUGGCAGCACUGUAACAUUUCCUGGAUUUCAGGUAGCAAUUCUGAGUUGUGAUCUCUUAAGUCCGUAACAAUUUGCUAUUUCUAAUUUAUUGCUUCAUUUGUGACUGCUGCUACAGCAAGGUAAAUUUAUUCUGAUUUGCACAACCUAAGUCUUAGCUCUGACAGUGACUAAUUAUUACCUGAGUUAAAAUAAUGAAAGUGUCGGAAAGUGUCCGAAUGCAAUUUGUUAGGAAAACAUGUGGCAUGCUGUGUUACCCAAGCCCAGAAAAGCCUAAGUGAUCAGAAACCAUGGAGAAUUAAGAAUUUUUCCCCCAAAGGUUACAAAUCAGUGUGGAAAAUUUUCAAGGAAUUGGAGUGCUGAGGGGCUCCAUUCACUAGAAUAUAAAAUGCAGACCAUACCUGUGUAAUUUUCUGCUUAAGGAAGAAAAGUCACUUUUUCAGAAAGAAUCUAAAAGGAUAUUGCAAUGUUAACACUGUCCAGAGAGCUUGCAUCAGUUAGAGACUGAUGCUGAUACAAUUUAAAGGAUGCACUCCCUGCACGAGGAUUAUUUUGCUGCUCUUCUUUUUCAAAAAAAAAGAAAAAAACCCAAAACUCAAACUCAAACCAACACACAGAAGACAAAAUCUGUUGUAAGAAACUCCAAAAGUGUAAGUUCCCUUAGCUGAUGUAAGUAACACAUUUGAGGUUUUGUUGGCUCAGGGUCAGUCCUGUGUUUUGUCACCUAUAGGCAUGUCUUAUUCACAGAACAGCUCAGCUCCAGCUGUGUAAAAUGAAUCCUCAAAUGAAAUGGUCCAAUGAUGUUAAUGACUCUGUGUGCUUGCGAAAGUUUCUAAGGAAUGUUAGCAGCUCUGGGUUAGGAUUAGAAAACAUUCGAGAGCUCAGUAGUUCUGCUUGUUCAAAUAGCUCUAUGAAAGCAGAUGGAGUAUCAGUAAAUUAAAAUAAUAACACAAAAUAAUAAAUAGCUAUCUGGCUGAAAUAAUAAAGCAGUACAAAUGAUUUGGGGCUUCUUCAUUCAGGGCAUUUGUCACUCUCAUGAGCCAUUUCAGCCACAUUUUAUAUUAAAUUUGUCUUAAACAGGAUUUAAUUGAGAUUUAAUAAGGCAAUUGUUUUAUGGUUAAGAACCAAUUGGAUGUCAACACCUAAUGUUUCCUAGAGUGAUAACUGUACCUUGAAAGAUGCUGGGACUACAUAAAGGCUAAGAAUUUCAUGGUCCAUAACGAGAUACCUAGAUUUAAUAUUGCUUAAUACAUACCUGCAUUUACAGUCUGUAUUUCAAGCCCUCCUACCACAUGAGUGUCCUGUUGUAUUAAGAAGCUAUACAAUCUGCAUUUCUGUCUAUAUCUAACACACCUGCUAGACCUCAAGAGACAUGAUUAUAUUAAUUACAAUAUAUUGAUUGAUUUCUAUUUUACAUGCACUGUCUGUAUUUAAUUUAAAUAUACAAUUAAGCGUAUUAAGGACACAAUUUGUAUUGUUACUGUGAUAAAUAAUUGCUAAUUGUGUCAUGAUACAUCACAUAUUUUAAGGCAAUGCUUCUCAUAUGGUAGUAGCAACUGCGUAUAUAAAAUAUGCUGGGAAUGUAUUUUAAUUAUUCAUAUUAGUUCAUGGCCAGUGCUUUUUUAUUUCUCAGGUCCGGAGGGAACAAUGCAUAUCUUGACACUUCAAAACAAUUGUUGGCAUAAUUUUCAGGCAAACAUAUAUACCUUUCACACACAGUCCAUGUAUGUUUUUCUGAUUAUUAUAUGGAAAAUACAGAUGUCAGUAUGCAAUUCUGCUCUCUGUUUUGCUAAUUCCUAAUGUGUGUAC